ensembl:lncRNA
GACUAAUGCUGCUAGGAGAGGAUGUAGGAAAGAAGAGAGAUCUCCAAUUGACAGGAAGCAAAGAAUAAAUGAUUGUAAAGGGGCUGGCAGUGCUUGUAGUUUAAAGACAGACACAAUUUAGAUAGCACUGAGAUCUCAUUGCAGGAUGAAGCUUAAUGAGGUCUGUGUGGUCACAGAGGGAUAAAACACUAUGAGAUCAGAUGUGGCCCUGUGUUGUGUGUGAGAGCAAGACCUUUGAGCUGAAUUCACAUUACCUGAGCCAUCACCAGGACUGGAACAUUCAUUGGCGUUUUCAGAAGAUUAUAUACAAAACCACUACAGAGAUAAAAGAAGCUGGAUUAUGUGAAGGCUACUUCAAGUAUUCUGCACUGUAUUGAAGAAGAACAAAGGAAUGUGAAGUGGAAGUGACUUUAAAGUGGCUUGACAGAUGGGCCGAAAGCACUGCAGACGUUUGAACAAGGAAAUGGAGAGGGAGCCUGCUGGAAGCAGGGCUUCACGCAGCCAGCCGCAGAUGAUGAAUAGAGUGUGAUUGUGUCUGACAGGAUGCAUUGAAGGUAGAUGGGACUUGAGCUAGUAGGUGACGACAGAAAAUUUGCACUGGAGGACCAAGAUACCAUACUUUUCCAGCCUAGAAAUGGACCAUUACAGAAGGGAAUGCAGAUGAACAUGGCUGAACUCAGUGCUGCAGUUUACAGAAGUAUCUGCUCACAGCACAGAAUGACACAUGGCUUGUCCUACAUCACAGACAACACUAAGCAGUGUAUGGGAACAGUAGACAAGGAAAAGAAUUGUAGAAUCAUUGAAUCGCCAAAGCUGAAAAAGAUCUCCAAGACCAUCCAGUCCAACUUUCCACCUACCACCAGUAUUUCCCACUAAACCAUGUCCAUCAAUACAACAUCCAAAUGUUUCUUGAACACUUCCAGGGACAGUGAUCUAACCACCUCCUUGGGCAGCCCAUUUCAGUGCCUAACCACUCCUUUGGAGAAUAAAUUUUUCCUAUUAUCCAACCUGAACCUCCCUUGGCACAAAAGAACAAAUAACAAGUGGUUUGGUUUUUCUGUCACAGGUUGUUGGUGUGGUUAAUAUUCUCUGCUUCAGUACUCUGCGUUUACAACUCUUUUGCAAUGAGGUCACACUGACAAGCCACAAACACUGCUUGUUCCUUUUAAGAAAUAGUGAUUGCUAGACGCAAAUGAAUUCAGGGAUGGCUGAGAGGUGAUCUUGCAAGACUUCAAAAUAUCAAAGUGUGUCAUUCUGAUAUGCCUGAUAAAAGUGUUAUUUAAAUAUCCAUGGAAACCAACCUUCACAUUCAACUCAGGGGCUUUGGUCAUAAAUAAAAUACUGGACUGUGAAGGGAUUUCAAAGAUAUACCUUGUCUUUUUGAUCUCUGCAGUUAAUUCUUUCUCUCAACUUGGUCCUUAGAAAGGCGAUUGAAAGUGCAGCUAAGCUAAACGUUCCGUGGGAGUGCUCUGAUCUGUUUACUGCUUUGAUGUUCUCUGUAGGCUACUGCUUCCUGUGAACCAGGAUUCCAUGGCAAAAUAUAUGUGAUUCUCCAUCUCUUUUUUUAAAAGAUUUAAUAUGCAUUUCUCUCUGCUUGUAUCUAUAUUUGCACAUGACGGGUGAGAAGCAGACACAUGGUCCUCUAUUUCCAGAGAGGUGUUCAAAAAAAGACACCAAAAUCUGUCAGAUAUCUUCAAAGCAAGUUUGGAAUUCUGUGUUACCUUUAUCAGGAUCCUCCCCAAUUUUUUAGUUGUAUAAACAGUAUUUAAGCCUUGAUGACCAUUUAACUAAAUUAAGCAAACAAACAAACAAACAAACACAGAAUUGUUGGUAUUACAUUUGAAUUGAAGGACACAAACAAUGCAUAUUCUUUCUUUGCUGAUUUUGAACCAGAAUAUUUGAACCAGAUUUUGAACCAGAUUAUUUUCCUGCCAGUGGAUAAAAGUUACAGUAUUACUUAGAACAGCCUUUUUAACAUCAUCAUUAUAAAAAUGUUACCUUUAUAACUUGUUUAUCAAUUGACUAUUUUGUAAAACUGCAGUUGGCUUAUCUGAUUGGUAAUGCUAAAAUAUCCUUCCAAUGUUUUAAAUUUUCACCAAAAAUAUCUCGG